rnacentral:tRNA from 2 species
GGGGCGUUAGCUCAGUUGGUCAGAGCAGAGGACUCAUAAUCCUUUGGUCGAGUGUUCAAGUCACUCACGCCCUACCA